UACGUAGGGGGCUAGCGUUGUCCGGAAUCAUUGGGCGUAAAGCGCGUGUAGGCGGUCCGGUAAGUCCGCUGUGAAAGUCGGGGGGCUCAACCCUCGAAUGCCGGUGGAUACUGUCGGGCUUGAGUACGGAAGAGGCGAGUGGAAUUCCUGGUGUAGCGGUGAAAUGCGCAGAUAUCAGGAGGAACACCAAUUGCGAAGGCAGCUCGCUGGGACGUUACUGACGCUGAGACGCGAAAGCGUGGGGAGCAAACAGG
rnacentral:rRNA from 1 species